UGGCCAGGCUUGUCUCGAAUUCCCGACCUCAGGUGAUCUGCCCGCCUCAGCUUCCCAAAGUGCUGGGAUUAUAGGCAUGAGCCACCGCAUCCGGCAUCCAUCAGUUUAGAAAGUUUAUUUCACCAAGGUUAAGGUUGCGCCCAUGGCAGUCUCAGAAGGCCCUGACAACAUGUGCCCUAGGUGGUAAGGGUACAGUUUGCUUUUGUACAUGUUAGGGAGACAUGAGACAUCAAUCAGUAUGUGUAAUAUGUACUUUAGUCAGGUAAAGCUGAACUUGAGGCAAGGGCUUCCAGGUCAUGAGUAGAUAAGAGGCAAAAGAUUGCAUUCUUUUGAAUCCUUAAUCAGCCUUCCACUGAAUACACAAUUUAGUCUGGCUCAGUGAAUCAUCAUUUUUACAUAAACAGUAGGGGAGGGGAAAAAAUCAGAUAUGCAUUUGUCUCAGGUGCACCUUAGAGGGAUAACUUUUGAGUUCUGUCCGUCCUUUUUCCACAAGGAAUUUCCUUGUAUGCAAAUUUUAAGGGAGGUAUGUAGCCUCUUAUCUUGGUAGCUAUAUCUUAUUUAGGAAUAGAAUGGGAGGCAGGUUUGUCUGACAUAGUUCCCAGCUUGACUUUACCCUUUUAAGGGAGGAGAUCACCCCUCAUAUUGUCUUAUGCCCAGUUUCUGCUUCCAAAGAAAGAAGAAGUAAAAGCGAAAAGGCAGAAAUGAAAUCCACAAGCAGACAGCCGAACGCCACACCCUGGGCCUGGUAGUCAAAAGAUCGACCCCUGACCUAAUCAGUUAUGUUAUCUAUAGAUUACAGACAUUGUAUAGAAAAGCACUGUGAAAAUUCCUAUCCUAUUUUGCUCCAAAUUAAUUACCAGUGCAUACAGCCCCCAGUCACGUAUCCCCUGCUUGCUCAAUCGAUCACGACCCUGUCAUGUGCACCCCCUUAGAGUCAUGAGCCCUUAAGAGGGACAGGAAUUGCUCACUUGGGGAGCUCGCCUCUUGAGACAGGAGUCUUGCCAAUGUGCCCAGCCAAAUAAACCCCUUCCUUCUUUAACUCGGUGUCUGAGGAGUUUUGUCUGAGACUUGUGGAACAUCCCCGUGGGGGACUCCGACCAGCCCGAGUGACAUGGAUCCUGAGAGCGCUCCCAAGUAGGCAUUUGCCCCGGUGGGACACCUCGCCAGAGCAGUGUGUGGCAGGCCCCCAUGGAGAAAACGCAGGAGCUGAACACCGGGAAGGAACGGGCACUUGGAGGCUGGACAUCUAAAACUUGAGGUGGGAUAGUUUGCCUGGAAGGUGACACUGUGUGUCUGCAUGGACAGGAGCAGCAGACAUCAGAGAGAGGUGAUUGAGAUAAAUGCCACCACGUAAGAAGUGCCUUUCACCUCUCACCGUGAUUCUGAGGCCUCCCCAGCCAUGUGGAGCUUUUCCUACAGGACACAGAUGUGCACAUGUGCUCCCUGGCUUGAAGGUCCGAGGCGGCUCAUGUUUGCCAUACACACGCGUUAGCUCCUUUACAGCUGGAAUAUCCCUGGGCUUGGAUGGUAGGCCAGCAUCGCCAUCCCCUCCCAACAGACCCUGCUCUAGGCCAGGAGCUCUGACAGUCUAAGCCAGGUGUGGUGGCGCAUGCCUGUAGUUCCAGACUCAACAGGCUGAUGCAGAAAGAUCAUUUGAGACAAGGAGGUUGAGGCUGCAGUGAUCUGUGAUUGCACCACUGUACUCCAGGCUGGAUGACAGAGAAAUGCUUCAUUUUGAAAAAAAAGAAAAAAGAAAAAAAUGCAGCAUUACCUGGAAAGAAGCUAAAGCUGGGCGGUUUCAAUAUGGCCGAUUAGGAACAGCUCCAGGCUACAACUCCCAGCGUGAGUGACACAGAAGACGAGUGAUUUCUGCAUUUCCAACUGAGGAACCACCAGAGAAGAGGCCAUGGCUUUGGAGCACCUGGUAGUGUGUCCACAGUGAAGACCAGAAUUUCAUUGUCCUCAAGACUGACCUGGGGAGAUGUGGCUGCGGGCCAGUGAGGAAGGUGAGGCAAAAGCUUCCUGUCUGCUCCCUGGGUGCUAAAGGGAGCUCUGCCAUGGGCUUUACUUCACACGUUAUAUCCUGCAAGUCUUGUUUUACAAAAGCAUCCCUUCCUCGAGGCUUUGGUUGCUCAUCAUCACAGUGUGUCAUAACAUAUGGUAAGAUUUGGGUUUGCUUCAGCGGGGAGAUCUUGGUACCGAGAAAGGAGCAAUGCUUAGAGCCACCUCAGGACAGUUGGGAUGAAAGCUGGGGAUGGGUGAAGGCUGGAGGAAACGUGCACUCCCUGUAAACACUUUUAUUCAUGCUUUCAUUACUCGUUUUUCUUACAGUGUUAAAGUAGUAAAAAUGGUAUUGAAAAAUUGAAAAGUAGGCAUAUUAAAACUUGCAACAUUAUUUAAGUUUAAAUAUAUUAUUUGUACCUCAUCAACAUUUUUUAUUUUGUUGAGAAAGUCUAAGGUUAAUUGGCAGCAUAUUUUAAUAGUAGAUAGAAUAAUAUCUGUUUUAUAAACAUUGACAUCCUACAUUACAGGUGUGAACCGUGAAAGUCUGAGACAGGUCUCAGAUUUUUUAGAAAGUUUAUUUUGCCAAGUUUGAGGAUGCGCCCCUGAUGCCUCUGCAGGAGGUCCCGACAACACGGGCCCAAGGUGGUCGGGGCCCAGCUUGGUUUUACACACUUUAGGGAGACGUGAGACAUCGAUCAAUAUGUGAAAGAUGUACCUUGGUUCAGUCCAGGAAGGUGAGACAACUUGAAGAGAAGGCCAGACAGGGAGCUUCCAGGUCAUAGGUAGGUAAGACACAAAUAGUUUCAUUCUUUUGAGUUGCCGGUUACCCUCUCCCGAUGAGACACUCAGAUACACAUUUCUCUUGGUGAGCAGACGGGUGACUUUGGACAGAAUGGGAGGUGGGUUUGCCCUCAGCAGCCCCAGCUUGACUUUUCCCUUUAGCUUAGUGAUUUUGGGUCCCCAAAGUUGAUUUUCCUUUCACAAGGUCUAACAUGUUUUCCUAUGAGCAUUAAGUAUUCAUUGGGUAUUUUAUUACACAAGGCACAGAUUUUUAAAAAAUCAUCAACUUCAUGCCUAGCUCUAUAGACAUAACAACAUAGAGGUUCAACUAAAUUUGGAAACAUUCCAGAGUUUUGGUUUCUAAUACUUCUUUGUGAUUCUUUAAAAGGUAAAGUAUUUUUUUUCCGUAAAGCAUAGUAACAUCUAAAAUCACCCGUAGAAUGUCCUUUCAUUUUUUUUCUCUAGUUUCCCCAUUUUCUGCAAAGCCUCAUUGAGGAAAUUGACUUUUAAUAUCCUUUUACACGCUUCUGUUUUAGAAAUCUUUGUGGUAAAACAUUGAAUGUUCAUGGUCACAAGUUCUGUUCACAUUCUUUCUUUCUUUGAAUAUUUUUUUCCCAGUGGCCAAUAUUUGAUUCUGUUG